rnacentral:rRNA from 1 species
GACGAACGCUGGCGGCGUGCUUAACACAUGCAAGUCGAACGGAAAGGCCCUGCUUUUGUUGGUUGCUCGAUUGGCGAACGGGUGAGUAACACGUGUGUAAACUGCCCUUAACUUUGGGAUAACUUCAGGAAACUGGGGCUAAUACCCGAUAUGAUCUCCUGCUGCAUGGUGUGGGUUGGAAAGUUUCGGCGGUUGUGGAUGGACUCGCUGCUUAUCCGCUUGUUUGUGGGGUAGUGGCUUACCAAGGCUGUGACGGGUAGCCGGCCUGAGAGGGUUAACGGCCACAUUGGGACUGAGAGACGGCGCAGAAGGGUACGGGAGGCAGCAGUGGGGAAUAUUGCACAAUGGGCGGAAGCCUGAUGCAGCAACGCCGCGUGCGGGAUGACGGCCUUCGGGUUGUAAACCGAUUUGGCCGGUGACGAAGAGUGAGUGACGGUAAUGGGUAAAGAAGCAACGGCUAACUACGUG